rnacentral:rRNA from 1 species
CCUACGGGUGGCAGCAGUGGGGAAUAUUGGACAAUGGGGGGAACCCUGAUCCAGCCAUGCCGCGUGUGUGAAGAAGGCCCUCGGGUUGUAAAGCACUUUCAGUGAGGAAGAACGCCUGGUGGUUAAUACCCAUCAGGAAAGACAUCACUCACAGAAGAAGCACCGGCUAACUCCGUGCCAGCAGCCGCGGUAAUACGGAGGGUGCGAGCGUUAAUCGGAAUUACUGGGCGUAAAGCGCGCGUAGGUGGCUCGAUAAGCCGGUUGUGAAAGCCCCGGGCUCAACCUGGGAACGGCAUCCGGAACUGUCAAGCUAGAGUGCAGGAGAGGAAGGUAGAAUUCCCGGUGUAGCGGUGAAAUGCGUAGAGAUCGGGAGGAAUACCAGUGGCGAAGGCGGCCUUCUGGACUGACACUGACACUGAGGUGCGAAAGCGUGGGUAGCAAACAGGAUUAGAUACCCGUGUAGUC